rnacentral:rRNA from 1 species
GUCUACAGCCAUACCACCCUAAACACGCCUGAUCUCAGAAGCUCAGCAGGGCCAGGCCUGGUUAGUACUUGGAUGGGAGAAAAUAUUAAAAGAAAAGUUCCAGAAAUAAACU